UACGAAGGGGGCUAGCGUUGCUCGGAAUCACUGGGCGUAAAGCGCACGUAGGCGGAUUGCUAAGUCAGGGGUGAAAUCCUGGAGCUCAACUCCAGAACUGCCUUUGAUACUGGCGAUCUUGAGUCCGGGAGAGGUGAGUGGAACUGCGAGUGUAGAGGUGAAAUUCGUAGAUAUUCGCAAGAACACCAGUGGCGAAGGCGGCUCACUGGCCCGGUACUGACGCUGAGGUGCGAAAGCGUGGGGGAGCAAACAGG
rnacentral:rRNA from 1 species